rnacentral:misc_RNA from 1 species
UCCGGUUUGGCACCGGCAGUCCCCCGAGAGUCCUCAGCAGUUUGCACCCUGUUAGCAACACGGGGCGGGGGUUGCGCUCGUUGCGGGACUUAACCCAACAUCUCACGACACGAGCUGACGACAGCCAUGCAGCACCUGUGCACGGGCUCCGAAGAGGGCGCGCUGUUUCCAGCGCGUUUCCCGUGCAUGUCAAGCCUAGGUAAGGUUCUGCGCGUUGCGUCGAAUUAAACCACAUGCUCCACCGCUUGUGCGGGCCCCCGUCAAUUCCUUUGAGUUUCAGCCUUGCGGCCGUACUCCCCAGGCGGGGCACUUAAUGCGUUAGCGCCGGCACCCAGGGGGUCGCUCCCCCAGGCACCUAGUGCCCAUCGUUUACGGCGUGGACUAC